GGGGAAUCUUAGACAAUGGGGGAAACCCUGAUCUAGCCAUGCCGCGUGAUCGAUGAAGGCCUUAGGGUUAUAAAGAUCUUUCAGUGGGGAAGAUAAUGACUGUACCCACAGAAGAAGCCCCGGCUAACUCCGUGCCAGCAGCCGCGGUAAUACGGAGGGGGCUAGCGUUGUUCGGAAUUACUGGGCGUAAAGCGCACGUAGGCGGACCGGAAAGUCAGAGGUGAAAUCCCAGGGCUCAACCUUGGAACUGCCUUUGAAACUCCCGGUCUUGAGUUCGAGAGAGGUGAGUGGAAUUCCGAGUGUAGAGGUGAAAUUCGUAGAUAUUCGGAGGAACACCAGUGGCGAAGGCGGCUCACUGGCUCGAUACUGACGCUGAGGUGCGAAAGCGUGGGGAGCAAAC
rnacentral:rRNA from 1 species